CCCCAAUGAGGAAACAAUCAUGUCUUACCUCCUGUCCUAGCCCAGACCCUGAAAAGGCGAACCCACUGGGGCUGGCUUGGGGAGGAGAGGAGAACUUGUUCCAGAAGGAACUGUCUGACGGAGU
rnacentral:snoRNA from 15 species